rnacentral:rRNA from 1 species
UACGUAGGGUCCGAGCGUUUGUCCGGAAUUAUUGGGCGUAAAGAGCUCGUAGGCGGUUUGUCGCGUCUGCUGUGAAAUCCCGAGGCUCAACCUCGGGCCUGCAGUGGGUACGGGCAGACUGGAGUGCGGUAGGGGAGAAUGGAAUUCCUGGUGUAGCGGUGGAAUGCGCAGAUAUCAGGAGGAACACCGAUGGCGAAGGCAGUUCUCUGGGCCGUAACUGACGCUGAGGAGCGAAAGCGUGGGGAGCGAACAGG